GAUGAACGCUGGCGGCGUGCCUAAUACAUGCAAGUCGAGCGAACAGACGAGGAUCGUGGUCCGCUGACGUGAGCGGCGGACGGGUGAGUAACAGGUGGAUAACCUACCUAUAAGACUGGAAUAACGGCGGGAAAGCGGAGUUAAGACCGGGAAAUAUAUGUAACCGCAUGGGUCAAUAGUUAAGGACGGGUUUGCGGUCACUUCUAGAUGUAUCCGCGUCGCAUUAGGUAGUUGGUAAGGUAACGGCUUAACAAGGCAACGAUGCGUAGCCGACCUGAGAGGGUGAUCGGCCACACUGGAACUGAGACACGGUCCAGACUCCUACGGGAGGCAGAAGUAGGGAAUCUUCCGCAAUGGGCGAAAGCUUGACGGAGCAACGCCGCGUGAGUGAUGAAGGUCUUCGGAUCGUAAAACUCUGUUAUUAGGGAAGAACAAAUGUGUAAGUAACUAUGCACGUCUUGACGGUACCUAAUCAGAAAGCCACGGCUAACUACGUG
rnacentral:rRNA from 1 species